rnacentral:rRNA from 1 species
CAGCAGCCACGGGAAUACAGAGGAUGCAAGCGUUAUCCGGAAUGAUUGGGCGUAAAGCGUCUGUAGGUGGCUUUUCAUGUCCGCCGUCAAAUCCCAGGGCUCAACCCUGGACAGGCGGUGGAAACUACCAAGCUAGAGUACGGUAGGGGCAGAGGGAAUUUCCGGUGGAGCGGUGAAAUGCGUUGAGAUCGAAAAGAACACCAACGACGAAAGCACUCUGCUGGGUCGACACUGACACUGAGUGACGAAAGCUAGGGGAGCAAAUGGGAUUAGAUACCCCCGUAGUCCCUGUCUCUUAUAC